UACGGAGGGGGCUAGCGUUGUUCGGAAUUACUGGGCGUAAAGGGCGCGUAGGCGGCGCGAUAAGUUGGGCGUGAAAGGCCCGGGCUCAACCCGGGGACUGCGCUUGAUACUGUCGCGCUGUGAGUCCGGGAGAGGAUGGCGGAAUUCCCAGUGUAGAGGUGAAAUUCGUAGAUAUUGGGAAGAACACCGGUGGCGAAGGCGGCCAUCUGGACCGGCACUGACGCUGAGGCGCGAAAGCGUGGGGAGCAAACAGGAUUAGAUACCCUGGUAGUCCACGCCGUAAACGAUGCGUGCUAGACGUUGGGGGGCUUGCCCUUCGGUGUCGUCGCUAACGCAUGAAGCACGCCGCCUGGGGAGUACGGUCGCAAGAUUAAA
rnacentral:rRNA from 1 species